AGCAGCCGCGGUAAUUCCAGCUCCAACAGCGUAUAUUAAAGUUGUUGCAGUUAAAAAGCUCGUAGUUGAACUUCGGGGUCUACCCAUUGGUCAGGCUUAAUUGUCUGCACUGGUGAGAUGGAUCUCUACCUUCUGAGGAACUUUCAUGCCAUUUAUUUGGUGUGGUUGGAAAUCAGGACUGUUACUUUGAAAAAUUAGAGUGUUUAAAGCAGACUAUCGUCUGAAUACAUUAGCAUGGAAUAAUGAAAUAGGACGGACUGAUUCUAUUUCGUUGGUUCUAGGAUCACCGUAAUGAUUAAUAGGGAUAGUUGGGGGCAUUAGUAUUCAAUUGUCAGAGGUGAAAUUCUUGGAUUUAUGAAGACUAAUACUGCGAAAGCAUUUGCCAAGGAUGUUUUCAUUAAUCAAGAACGAAAGUUAGGGGAUCGAAGACGAUCAGAUACCGUCGUAGUCUUAACCAUAAACUAUGCCGACUAGGGAUCGGACGAAGUUAAUUUUAUAAUGACGC
rnacentral:rRNA from 1 species